rnacentral:rRNA from 1 species
CCCUUAGAUGUCCUGGGCCGCACGCGCGUUACACUGAUGCAUUCAACGAGCUUAUAACCUUGGCCGAGAGGCCUGGGCAAUCUUGUUAACGUGCAUCGUGAUAGGGAUAGAUUAUUGAAAUUAUUAAUCUUGAACGAGGAAUUCCUAGUAAACGCAGAUCAUCAAUCUGCAUUGAUUACGUCCCUGCCCUUUGUACACACCGCCCGUCGCACCUACCGAUUGGAUGGUCCGGUGAAGCCUCGGGAUUGUGGUUCUUGCCGCUUUAUUGUGGCGUGCCCGCGAGAACUUGUCUAAACCUUAUCAUCUAGAGGAAGGUGAAGUCGUAACA